CUUGACGGUAACAAACACCUCACUGAGCAGCAGAAGGAUGACAUUAACAAUUUGGCCAUUUCCUGGGACUUGCCACCCGUCAGUGCAGAAAACUGCAGAUGGCUGUUCCAACAGCUUCUCCAUCAUGCAGUGAUAGGCUGAACUAAAAGGCAGACAAAACACAUCAGAAAAGGUCUGAAGGACACCGGAUUGUUGACUAUGCUUCAACAAAGACCUGACACAGCCUCAGUGGUCUUUCCCCAGCAUGAAGACAGCAUUCUUACUGCACAGGCUGUUCUUAGCCACAUUGUUUGGCCAGGAGAUGAGGGCGAUGAUGAAGACGAUGAUGAUCCACCUUACCCACUAAGCAUCCAAAUGCAAACAGUGGGAUUUCUGAAGACCUACAUUGAAACAGCCACUCCAUUCCAGCUCAGCCAGCUGAUGAGGUUUUGGGUCGGGUGGGAAAUUCCGACUGGUACCAUGAAGGUUGAAGUGGUCAAAGCAGACUACCUCAUAUCCUGUACAUGUUUUGGAAUGUUGCGUGUCCCUGGGCACUUCCACGAGUACAAUGUCUUUUCCAAACAUGUUGAUGAUUGCAUUGCAACUUGUGCCACAGGUUUCGGCCUUAUUUAAAAGCAAUUUGUAGACACUGGAUGUCGAAUAAACUUUACCAUGCUUGAAAAAUGUUUUACAUAGCCAAAAGUUUCACUGUUUACGUAGGCUUAUUGAUUUUUUGGGAAUAUUGUUAUGCGAGUUUAAAUAUAAAAAUUAAAGUUACAGUUCCCACCAUUAACAUUUAUAUUUGAAGUUAAGGAACUAAUGAUUGUGUUAUUUAGGGUUGUUUUGUUAACUUAAAGUCAUUGUCAUGCAUCCGAUUCACAUCAUCUCUUUGUUUGAAGCAGUUUCAUGGAUUACAAGAGGUGUAAAAAAGUAGAUUAAUACUAAAGCUGUAUUAAAUGUUACACACAGUCCAAUGCUGUUGAAUAUAAUGUUAAUAAAAAUCUGCCACACUGUCAGCUGUGGUCAAGCUAUUUAAUUACCGCAUGCAGGACAGCUAACAUACAUCAAAACAUUACAGUUCUACAGUCAUGAGAGUUUUUGUAACUUUCAAGCUGUUUUCAAUAAAGUCAAGUUUUGAGCUAUGAAAAUUGGAUGAUAAUUUUCCUGAUUAUUUUUGAGGUUGUUUGAAAUCAUUUUGUAAAUCAAAGGAAAUAUGCUUGAACACCCCAAAUUAAAAUCCAGAAGUUGUCAAGGACAUGGAUUUGAAGCAGCAGUUAUUGGACUUAAAUACAAGUUACAUUCUAGACUGGUCGCCACUCCAUCAAAGUUAAGAAAAAGAAUUCUCGUCAGACUGUAAAUACAGUAGAUCAAUUGAAUAUUGCCUUUACAAUUAAAUAAAAAUAGAAAUCAGCAAGAAUAGGCAUGAUGGCACCAAAACAAAAUUUUAUUGAAGCUAUUAUUAAACAAAGGAUUUACAUGAGAACAGAAAGCAUUUAUCAUGUUACCUUUGCAUUAACUGACGGGUUAUCAGGAAAAUAUAACUGUAAACUCAACAAACACAAAAUGCAUUAACAUUAAAAACUGAAAAUACUGAUGCAGACUUUUACUUGUUCUGUCACAGUCUGGCUGAGCAGCUGACUGUGUGAAGUAUGAAUAGUCGACCCAAGUGCAGACAAAAAUGGAAUGUGGAACAAAACUUGAAUGUUAGCAGAAAGCAAGCCGUUUCUUAAGGCUGGUAAAAACUAUACAAAACAAAAGGCAGAGAUGAAGCUAAACUGGGCAGACUAAAGAUAAACAUAAAAAUCAAAACAUGAAACUCGCCGUGGAUACAAAGAUACCUAAAACCUGGAGCGUAGAAGCAGAGAUGCAUGGAAACAUGGUACAAAUGACAACAUACAACAUGACAAAGAAUGAACAGAAACACACAGACUAAAUACACACAAGUGUGAUUAGAGGAAAUGAAAACACAUGGGAAACAGCUGACGCUGAUUUGACAUAUUCGUCCAUAUUUAUCUGAUCUUCUAUAUUUGUACUACAUUUGUACUCGCCCUCUCAUACACUUCACUCUUCAUCAGCUUCCCUUCUGUCUGUUCCACAUGCUUGCCUAACUACAAUGGGACUCAGAGCCUUUAGUUGUUCUGCCCCAAGACUUUGGAUGUACCUCAGCCAGAUCUCCGGACCACAAACUUUUUCACCACUUUUAAGUCACGUCUCAACACCCAUCUAUUCAGAAUUGCAUACACCUGAUUCUGUGUUAGUCCAUUUUAACUUGCUCAGCUUUUAUACUGUCAUGCUUGCUUUUUUCUUCUUUAACUUAUGUCUAAAUUUUAUUUGCAAUGUUUCAAUAUAUUGUAUUGUUGCUAUUGUAAGGUAACCUUAAGGUGUUAUAAAACGUAUUAGUAUUAUUAUUAUUAUUAUUAUUGUAGUAGUAUUUCUCUGCAAAUAGAAUACAAAUGAUAGGAAAAUUCAAUCAUUUCCAGACAGCAAGCAUUUGUGUAAGGCACGAAUGUGUAUUCAAAAUUGAAGUGAGACUGAUUUAAGCCUCUAUGCUCUAAUGUGAACAGCAAAUCUUUGCAUUAUACCUCGAUGGAAAUCCAUGCUUCUGUACAGCCUCAAGGAAGAACGUCACUAUUGAGUUAUGUUAAACUUACCAAAUUAACUUAUGGUUGGUGUCAAUUUGGAGCAGUGACAGAGGACCAGGAACACUGUAUGUCCUUCUGACAACACAUCCAAGAUUUGCCAUCCUUUCAAGGAUUCCAGCACUGUCAACACGACGCAUGUAAUCCCAUACUCUGUUCCACUGCACCCUGUGGACCAAGUGCCCUGGGGCGUCCUUUAACCAUUCUGUAGCCUAAAAAGACAUUCCAUAGUGAAACAAUUACAACAGCACAUUGGAAGGCACGUAUAGUACAGUAAAUCAAACUACUAACUAAUCAUGACAUUCAGCUAGUGUUAUUCAUGUAAAUAUGAAAGGUUGCUAGCAAGAAAAAUAAAAUAGAAUCUUAUUACAAGCAUUAUUUUUCACAUGAAUAACUAACCCAGAUAUUUCAAUUCCUGUUUUAUGGCUGCAAUUAAGUUGUCAAGUUCAUCAUCUGAUAGUGAGCUGUAGGUUGCCGUUAUUAAGAGGCCCCACUCUUCCAUUCUUCGUCGGACUGUUUUCUGCGAUAUGCCCAAAAUCGCAGCACGGUGGCACGGUGGUUAGCACUGUUGCCGCACAGCAAGAAGGUCCUGAGUUCAAUUCCACCAUCAGGCCGGGGUCUUUCUGUGUGGAGUUUGCAUGUUCUCCCCGUGUUUGCGUGGGUUCUCUCCGGGUAUUCCGGCCGCCUCCCACCGUCCAAAGACAUGCAGCUUGUGGGGAUAGGGUAAUUGGAUAAUCCAAAUUGCCACUAGGUGUAAAUGUGCGAGUGAAUGUGAGUGUGAAUGAUUGUCUGUCCCUGUGUGUUAGCCCUGCGACAGACUGGCGACCUGUCCAGGGCGUACCCCGCCUCUCGACCUAUGACAGCUGGGAUAGGCUCCAGCGCCCCCCGUGACCCUGAAAAGGAUAAGUGGAAGCGAAUGGAUGGAUGGAUGGAUGCCCAAAAGCUUGGAGAUACAAGGAACGGAGAGGUCCAUCUUUACUAGAUCUUUGAGGUGGUCUUUGGAAACAUAGAGCUUUGCCCUCCCCCGUUCACCAGCUGAGCUGUCAACAACAAUGGCAGACCUUGUAUCCAUAUUGGAAUGGAUGAGGGAGAUGAGGUAGUGAAGAGCUUCAACUACCUAAAAAAUGGUUGCAUUAAAAUAUUUAGUUGGAUGAAAUCCUAGAAUUCAGUUUUACCAUCUUAGUAACAUUAUUCUUAUCCCUAAUCUUUAUACUGAAACACAGAACAAAAUUUCAUCUUGGAUUUAACAAAGCAAUGGAUGACAGGUGUAUUUGUAUAGCAUAAUUACUACACUGUAAAAUUAACAUUAUAAGAUACAUAAGAAUGGCAUAUAUUGAAACGAUUUUUAAAGGUAACCAAAACUAAAUCAAAUAAACCUACCAGUGAUGGAACAUUAAUAUGAGCAGAAAGAGAACAGACUAGAGUUGAUGCGUUCACGCAGAGGAACUCAAUAUGAUCAAGGUCCAAGGGCUGUUGUUGGUAGGACUGCACCAGCCUAUUUUGAAGGUUUUGGAAAACGUGUCUUCCUAAAGCCACCUGAAAGAAGAAAAUUUAUGGAAUUACUGAUAUCAUAUGAAGUGCAUUGAAGGAACAAUGAAAUGUCAAACUGCAUAAAACUCAAUAAAACAAAAUAAUAUUUUCAUGAAAAUCUUUUUAUUUUGAUUAACUUUGUAAUACAGUAAAGAAACUGAAUUGCAUUAAAAAUUAUUUUUAAAUAUGUGCUAUCCUGUGCCACCUUGCUGUAUUAAAAGAAUUCAAAGAACAUUACUUUAAUAAUGAAAAAAAAAUGAACCCACUAAAGAGUCACAGGGACAUCCCAGGUCCACUUUACAGUCACCUGCUAAGUAAAACAAUCAGACAAUUUUCAAAGAUUUACACGUUUCUCUAUGGAUGUAUCAUACACUCUCCUACUUAAGAAGGGUUCUCUCUGAAGUACCCCGUGGACGUUCCCAUGAUGACACAGAUGACCCACAAAUUUAGUAUAGCACACAUCAAAACACAUAACCCGAUGAAGAAAGACUUUAAAAGUCCCUAAACACAUUUGACAUCUGUUAGGGUUGAAAAUUUAUUUACAAGUUUACAAAAUUAUUAAAUAAGGCUGCUUCAUUAUUUUUUUAAGAUGUACACAAUGCAAAUGUGCUCAUAAGCAUGUUGGCAUUCCAUGUUUGAAGGUUGAGAGCGUCAUUCGGCGCUUCCUUCUUAAAGUGUGUCUUCCUGAACUUGUUGGGAAAUACUUCUCCAAACAACAUGCUGCUCUAAAUAGCCUGUAAUGUUUCAUUUUGUGGUUCAAGAUUGAUGCCAGCUGUGUGUUGCCAUGUAAAUAGUUUGCAUUUCAUUUUUAUGUACUUGCUAAGUACAUGUGAACAGAUCAAGAAUAAAACAAACAAACAAAUAUACUAUUCUUUUCUGUUUUAUUGAAACUAUUUCAC
rnacentral:lncRNA from 1 species